GUAAGGUUCAACUCGAUUCUAGUCAGUGUAAAUCAAAAUUUCAAACCUUUCGGGCUGUUGCGAGCUAAAAAAGUUUUAUGUUUUUUUUAAAUAUAUUUUUACCUUUUUCUUUCUUUUUCGAAAAUCAAGAUGUGUAUUCUUGCUGCCCUUCGUAGCGUUGUGUCCUUAAGGAAGUUCUGGUCCAAAUGGUUUUAACGAUCCUUGUUUUGGGCCAAACAAUGGAUUGUUUACUUCCUGGAGUGGACCGAGUGGGUCAGGCUUCUGGGCAGGAGGUGUGGCUAAACCUGCACGGCUGAAGAAGAAAAGGUGAAGGUGAAAUAAAUAAUUUUACUGCUUUUAAUUAAUAGUGUGGAUCUGUUAACCAUAUACAGUUCAUACGUAUUGACCAUGGACUGGCAGUCUGUAAUCGUAACAGUCGAAGAAAGGCUUAGUGAAAAAAGUUUUAUGCACACAUGACAAAAAACACUGACACUUUUAUAGAAAAUAAAUAAGGAUGACCAAAACCACAAAAAAAAU